rnacentral:rRNA from 1 species
UACAGAGGGUGCGAGCGUUGUCCGGAAUCACUGGGCGUAAAGGGCGCGUAGGUGGCACGACAAGUCAGUGGUGAAAGCUCGACGCUCAACGUCGAGUCGGCCACUGAUAAUGUUGAGCUGGAGCACUGUAGAGGCUAAUGGAAUUCCGGGUGUAGCGGUGGAAUGCGUAGAGAUCCGGAAGAACCCCGGUGGCGAAGGCGAUUAGCUGGGCAGUUGCUGACACUGAGGCGCGACAGCGUGGGGAGCAAACAGG